rnacentral:rRNA from 1 species
GAUGAACGCUAGCUACAGGCUUAACACAUGCAAGUCGAGGGACCGGCGCACGGGUAAGUAACACGUAUCCAACCUGCCCUUUACUCGGGGAUAGCCUUUCGAAAGAAAGAUUAAUACUCGAUAUAAAGGAUGGGGAUGCGUCCCGUUAGGUUGUUGAGGAGGUAACGGCGAACAAAGCCUCCGAGGGAUAGGGGUUCUGAGAGGAGUGCCCCCCGCAUGGGCACUGGGACACGGUCCAAAGUCAUACGGCAGGUAGCAGUGUGGAAUAUUGGUCAAUGGGCGCUAGCCUGAACCAGCCAAGUAGCGUGAAGGAUGAAGGCUUAUGGGUCGUAAACUUCUUUUAUAUAAGUAUAUGGAUUAUAUGAAUAAGGAUCGGCGAAUUCCGUGCGAGCAGCGGCGGUAAUC